GAUGAAGAACGUAGUGAAAUGCGAUACUUGGUGUGAAUUGCAGAAUCCCGUGAACCAUCGAGUCUUUGAACGCAAGUUGCGCCCGAAGCCAUCAGGUUGAGGGCACGUCUGCCUGGGCGUCACAUAUCGUUGCCCAAUGCCUAUUGCAGUGCAAUAGGAAUUUCUAGGGCGAAUGAUGGCUUCCCGUGAGCGUUGUUGCCUCGCGGUUGGUUGAAAAUCGAGUCCUUGGUAGGGUGUGCCAUGGUAGAUGGUGGUCGAGUUAGAACGAUACCGAUCAUGUGCAUGCUCCCCAAAAUAUGGCCUCUAUGACCCACACGCGUCUUUCGACGCUCAUGACGAGACCUCAGGUCAGGCGGGGCUACCCGCUGAAUUUAAGCAUAUCAAUAAGCGGAGGA
rnacentral:misc_RNA from 1 species